AUCUCAUGUUUAGAGCCGGACUGA
rnacentral:siRNA from 1 species